AUAACUUCUCGGCCUUUUGACUAAGAUUACGUGUAAUAUCUAUUCUUAUCAUUUUAAUAAAUAAUAAAAAUGUUUUACAAAAAAUAAAUAUAUGAACCCAAUUUUAAAAAUUGAUUUGGCUUUUUAUUUGACCGACUUUUGGUUUUGUCUUUGUACCCUUAAGUCAAAUUCAA
ensembl:snRNA U2 U2 spliceosomal RNA